UACGGAGGGGACUAGCGUUGUUCGGAAUUACUGGGCGUAAAGCGCGCGUAGGCGGAUUUGCAAGUCGGGGGUGAAAGCCCGAGGCUCAACCUCGGAACUGCCCUCGAUACUGCAAAUCUCGAGUCCGAGAGAGGUGAGUGGAAUUCCUAGUGUAGAGGUGAAAUUCGUAGAUAUUGGGAAGAACACCGGUGGCGAAGGCGGCCAACUGGACCACAACUGACGCUGAGGCGCGAAAGCGUGGGGAGCAAACAGG
rnacentral:rRNA from 1 species